ACACAAAGCUCCUCAGAGGAUGUGCUAUCAGGAGAAAAGGGAGUAUGGCUCAAGCAAAGGAUUAAUAUUUUUAGCUGUAAAGACGGUUGGCUCGAAUGUUUGUUGGAGAGAGGCUUUCCUUGCUGUGUUUCAGUAUGGGAGACUAAUUGGCACAGGAAAGACACUGCAGUUUAGACGAUGAUGUCUACUUCUGAAUGACCAAUGUAAUUCACAGGCUACCUCAAUAUCAUCAACACUUUUUAAAGCAUUAUUUUUAUUUUACAACAGUGAGAAUAAGGAUCGAUACCAUUGUUUCCAAAUUAGAGUAAAUGAGUUUAAAAUCAGAGCCCUCCCCAGCACUGGUUGCCGCAUGAUAUUGGGCACUGAGGGCUUUGGGUUAGUUCACAUCUGUACACAUCACUUCAAUGGAGCACCACAGGCACAGCUGGCUGUACCUCGUUGGUGCACUUUGAGUACUCGUGUCUCUGCGUUCAUAUUGACUUUCACUGAAGCUCAGACAUAAAAUGCUUCAGUGCACAGAAUAUGAUAUUUUUUCUCAAUCCGAGUCCCAGGAGAACUCACUCCAGGCAUCCCCACUCAAUGAAAUAUUGUCUCUGCCGCCAGGGAAAGCAAUCUCUUGAGAAACAAGCCUGGAUGUAGAGGAAGGGAUCAUUUCCCAGCAACCUUUUGAUAUCGUCAAACCUUCAAUCUUUUGGUGAUUUUUGGACUUGGCGACAACAUCGGACCGGCCUUGGGCACUAAGUGCUUCAUUUCCAUCGACAUUUAUUAUUAUUCCACUUGCAUAUCUCAGAUCAUUGAGUGGUGGAGGUAGCAUUAACGUUCCCAUUUUAUAGAUGGAAUAGUUGUGUUGCAGAGAGAUACCUGGACAGCCUGGGACGUGGGUACAAGUCUGCUCUGGGUAGCUGAGUUCCUCUUGCAAUGCCAGCAUGCUUAAAGGAUACUUGUGUGCAUAUGUCCUGAUAUUUGUUAUUCAGGUUCGUAGAUGUAGCAGAAAUGCUAAGUCAUGGCCUGAAGCAGUGAUUGAGCACCUGGUGGAAGGCAGGGCCAACCCAGGGGAGCUCAGGUGCAUGCAAUGUACCUGAGUGACUGGAAGGGUGGAGCCAGGAUGCACCCCUUCCCAGACCUCAUUUAAGGGUUGGCAGUGGAGAUGGGGGCAUAUCACUGGCUUUCUCUUCUUACCUGAGGCCUUCUGAAGCAUACUUCCAUGCUCUACAGAGUCUCGAAGAAAGCAGCAGCAGGAAGCUUAGACUCCAUUUCCCACUCUUUCCCAGCUAUAAUGAAGAUGUCCUGCUAGCAGAUGUUAUAUGACAGCAUCCUAGUAUUCAUUGUAAUACUGGGGAAGUAGCAGCAGAAAUGGAAAGCCCCUUGGUCUUCAAGAAACCAGCAUCUACUGGAGAGGACAGGGCUGGAGAUGCUGCCAAAAGAGCCACAGAAGCAUGAUGCAAACUGCUCCGGGAUGCUGCCUGAGUUCCCCUUUGGACUCCAGAGUCCCAUUGAGAUCAUGACAGCCAUGUUUAUGUGCUAUUCUAAUGCUGGUUGUUGCAGUGUAAGUGCUUUUUAAUGCAUGGCAUUACAGCAGGUGCAUGCUGUUCUCUCCCUUACCGAAUGGCUGUCUGGAGGGAUGUAAUUCCGGCUUCUGCCUCAGCAUGCUGUUAUUUACAAGUGUGGUUACACGGUUUGUGCCACCUCAGAGCUUAAUUUAGUUAAUUUGGUGCACAGCACAUGAGAACCACCUUUGCAGAAUGAGUGCUGUGAUACCCAGCUGGCUCAGGGAUCCCAUAACUGCAUCUCGGAGGUGGGAGGACUUCAGAAGAGCAUUCAGGGAGCAACGAGCAGUGGUGUCAGGAGCAUGAAGUCCCAUCACUUCUAUACAUAAAACUAGAGCAGGACACAUGCGAUGUGUGUCUUGGGGUGGCCAGGUCUGUGGUAGCUCCUUGGCCAUUGACGCAGAGCUUUGUUGAUUGUCCCCACAAAGGCUUUUGGCUAUGGAUUUGCGGAUGUGGUUGUAGAAUAAAAUGAAAUUCCACCUCCUCAUACUGGACUGGUUCCUAUAGCCGUUCACACAUUUCAGUGUGAAAUUCUGCUGGGAGAGGGAGCUCAGCUGGAAGCAAUACACCUAACAGAGAUAUUCUGUGCUGACUUUUUUCAGAGGGAAUGAUCUGUUCUGAUGACAUUCACUUGAUCACGUGUAGCUCUUGCCCUUAGAAGCCUUUGGUGUUGCUAUUGGUAUUGAGUGAGGAACUGCAAUGAAGUGCCAUCCAUGUGUCCAGUGUGCUGAGAAGACUCUGGGGUCGGUGGUGCAGUGAGGAAGCAGGAG
ensembl:lncRNA